AUCUCUUCGGAGCAGUUUUACGAGGUGCUGCAUGGUUGUCGUCAGCUCGUGCCGUGAGGUGUCGGGUUAAGUCCCAUAACGAGCGCAACCCUACCUUUAGUUGCCAUCAGGUUAAGCUGGGGACUCUAAAGGAACUGCCUACGCAAGUAGUGAGGAAGGCGGGGAUGACGUCAAAUCAGCACGGCCCUUACGUCCAGGGCUACACACGUGCUACAAUGGCGCAUACAAAGGGCAGCGAUACCGCGAGGUGGAGCCAAUCCCAAAAAGUGCGUCCCAGUCCGGAUUGCAGUCUGCAACUCGACUGCAUGAAGUUGGAAUCGCUAGUAAUUCGAGAUCAGCAUGCUCGGGUGAAUGCGUUCCCGGGCCUU
rnacentral:rRNA from 1 species